AUUGAACGCUGGCGGCAGGCUUAACACAUGCAAGUCGAGCGGAGAUGAGGUGCUUGCACCUUAUCUUAGCGGCGGACGGGUGAGUAAUGCUUAGGAAUCUGCCUAUUAGUGGGGGACAACAUUCCGAAAGGAAUGCUAAUACCGCAUACGUCCUACGGGAGAAAGCAGGGGAUCUUCGGACCUUGCGCUAAUAGAUGAGCCUAAGUCGGAUUAGCUAGUUGGUGGGGUAAAGGCCUACCAAGGCGACGAUCUGUAGCGGGUCUGAGAGGAUGAUCCGCCACACUGGGACUGAGACACGGCCCAGACUCCUACGGGAGGCAGCAGUGGGGAAUAUUGGACAAUGGGGGAACCCUGAUCCAGCCAUGCCGCGGGCGUGAAGAAGGCCUUAUGGUUGUAAAGCACUUUAAGCGAGGAGGAGGCUACUGAGACUAAUACUCUUGGAUAGUGGACGUUACUCGCAGAAUAAGCACCGGCUAACUCUGUGCCAGCCGCCGCCGUAAGAC
rnacentral:rRNA from 1 species